rnacentral:rRNA from 1 species
UACGUAGGGGGCAAGCGUUGCCCGGAUUUAUUGGGCGUAAAGGGCGCGCAGGCGGCUCGGCACGUCCGUUGUGAAAUCGCCCGGCUCAACUGGGCGGGGUCAGCGGAUACGGUCGAGCUUGAGCAAGCUAGGGGGCAAUGGAAUUCCCGGUGUAGUGGUGGAAUGCGUAGAUAUCGGGAGGAACACCAGUGGCGAAGGCGGUUGCCUGGAGCUUUGCUGACGCUGAGGCGCGAAAGCGUGGGGAGCGAUCCGG